rnacentral:rRNA from 1 species
AGAGUUUGAUCAUGGCUCAGGAUGAACGCUGGCGGCGUGCCUAACACAUGCAAGUCGAGCGAUUCUCUUCGGAGAAGAGCGGCGGACGGGUGAGUAACGCGUGGGUAACCUGCCCUGUACACACGGAUAACAUACCGAAAGGUAUGCUAAUACGAGAUAAUAUACUUUUAUCGCAUGGUAGAAGUAUCAAAGCUUUUGCGGUACAGGAUGGACCCGCGUCUGAUUAGCUAGUUGGUAAGGUAACGGCUUACCAAGGCGACGAUCAGUAGCCGACCUGAGAGGGUGAUCGGCCACAUUGGAACUGAGACACGGUCCAAACUCCUACGGGAGGCAGCAGUGGGGAAUAUUGCACAAUGGGCGAAAGCCUGAUGCAGCAACGCCGCGUGAGCGAUGAAGGCCUUCGGGUCGUAAAGCUCUGUCCUCAAGGAAGAUAAUGACGGUACUCGAGGAGGAAGCCCCGGCUAACUACGUG